GAUGAACGCUGGCGGCGUGCUUAACACAUGCAAGUCGAACGGGAUCCAUCAGGCUUUGCUUGGUGGUGAGAGUGGCGAACGGGUGAGUAAUGCGUGACCGACCUGCCCCAUACACCGGAAUAGCUCCUGGAAACGGGUGGUAAUGCCGGAUGCUCCAGUUGAUCGCAUGGUCUUCUGGGAAAGCUUUCGCGGUAUGGGAUGGGGUCGCGUCCUAUCAGCUUGACGGCGGGGUAACGGCCCACCGUGGCUUCGACGGGUAGCCGGCCUGAGAGGGCGACCGGCCACAUUGGGACUGAGAUACGGCCCAGACUCCUACGGGAGGCAGCAGUGGGGAAUAUUGCACAAUGGGCGCAAGCCUGAUGCAGCGACGCCGCGUGAGGGAUGGAGGCCUUCGGGUUGUAAACCUCUUUUAUCGGGGAGCAAGCGAGAGUGAGUUA
rnacentral:rRNA from 1 species